UUAUUGGAGAGUUUGAUCCUGGCUCAGGACGAACGCUGGCGGCGUGCCUAAUACAUGCAAGUCGAGCGGAACUGAUGGAGUGCUUGCACUCCUGAUGUUUAGCGGCGGACGGGUGAGUAACACGUAGGUAACCUGCCUAUAAGAC
rnacentral:ncRNA from 1 species